rnacentral:tRNA from 1 species
GCGGAUGUGGUGGAAUUGGUAGACACGCUAUCUUGAGGGGGUAGUGGCGCAAGCUGUGUGGGUUCGAGUCCCACCAUCCGCACCA